AUUGCCUCAGUAACGGCGAGUGAAGCGGCAACAGCUCAAAUUUGAAAUCUGUCUCCUUCGGAGUCCGAGUUGUAAUUUGUAGAGGGUGUUUCGGGUGAGGCGCCGGCCUAAGUUCCUUGGAACAGGACGUCAUAGAGGGUGAGAAUCCCGUAUGCGGCCGGUGACCGACCCCAUGUGAAACCCCUUCGACGAGUCGAGUUGUUUGGGAAUGCAGCUCAAAAUGGGUGGUAAAUUUCAUCUAAAGCUAAAUACCGGCCAGAGACCGAUAGCGCACAAGUAGAGUGAUCGAAAGAUGAAAAGCACUUUGGAAAGAGAGUUAAAAAGUACGUGAAAUUGUUGAAAGGGAAGCGCUUGCAACCAGACCCGUCUCCGGGUGAUCAGCCUCCGUUCUCGGGGGUGCACUCGCCCGGUUAUGGGCCAGCAUCGGUUCGGGCGGUCGGAUAAAGGCCAAAGGAAUGUAGCUUCCUUCGGGGAGUGUUAUAGCCUUGGUGCCAUGCGGCCAGCCCGGACCGAGGAUCGCGCUUCGGCUAGGAUGCUGGCGUAAUGGUUGUAAGCGGCCCGUCUUGAAACACGGACCAAGGAGUCUAAUAUUUAUGCAAGUGUUUGGGUGUUAAACCCAUGCGCGGAAUGAAAGUGAACGGAGGUGGGAACCCAUUAGGGCGCACCAUCGACCGAUCCGGAAGUUUACGGAUGGAUUUGAGUACGAGCAUAACUAUUGGGACCCGAAAGAUGGUGAACUAUGCCUGAAUAGGGUGAAGCCAGGGGAAACCCUGGUGGAGGCUCGCAGCGGUUCUGACGUGCAAAUCGAUCGUCAAAUUUGGGUAUAGGGGCGAAAGACUA
rnacentral:rRNA from 1 species